GGGUCAGUAGGUUGGUCGUGCCACCGGUACGUACUGGUCUCACUGAUUCCUCCUUCCUGAAGAACCGUAAUGCCAUUAAUUUGGUGUUGCGGGGAAACAGGACUGUUACUUUGAAAAAAUUAGAGUGUUUAAAGCAAGUUAACGCUUGAAUACAUUAGCACGGAAUAAUGAAAUAGGACGAUCGAUCCUAUUUUGUUGGUUUCUAGGAUUGACGUA
rnacentral:rRNA from 1 species